AGGAACACGUGAGAAACCUGCCUUAUACUGAGGGAUAGCCCAGAGAAAUUUGGAUUAAUACCUCAUAGUAUCAUUUGAAGGCAUCUGAGAAUGAUUAAAGAUUUAUCGGUAUAAGAUGGGCAUGCGUAAGAUUAGUUAGUUGGUGAGGUAACGGCUCACCAAGACUUCGAUCUUUAGGGGUUCUGAGAGGAUGAUCCCCCACACUGGUACUGAGACACGGUCCAGACUCC
rnacentral:rRNA from 1 species